AUGCCUGGCCUGCUGCCCUUUCUUAUUUUUACACAUAGCCUAGGAGAUCAGAGAGUUGCUGCACUGAAAUUUGGCUUCCACCCUGGGCCUGCAUCACAGCGGCUCUCAGCCCAGAGUGUGGCUAGAAUAACUUUUCCGUCAGGAAGUCUGUGUUUGUAUGGACAGGUAGACGGGAGGAGGCAGAAUGCGCACCAAACCCACGGUGAAGGUGCCCAAGAGAGCAAACAUUCCCCCAAGCCAAGGCCAUUUCCCAGACACCUGUGUUGGUCGGGUCCCUCAUCACUCACCUCCCUGUCUUUGUUCCCAUUCCAGGGAACCCAAAGACUAGCAGUGAAGGCAGAGAUGAAGCAGAGCGCCACAUGGGAGAAGUGCUUCAUACCCUAUGGAAUGCACCAGCUGUCAUGCCCAGACAUUCCAGGAGAAAUGUACAAGAGCAAAGAAGUGAUCUGUUUGGGUGGCUUUCAUCCAGGCGGGAAGAGGACAGUGCUCCUGGAGACAGGCAGUCCCGGUUCGCACUGGUGUUUGGCUAGCCAGUCUCCAGAAAUCUGUGCCUGUGGGCUCUUUCAGGGAGGGUGUAAAUACCUGCUCUGAGCCAGGCCACCGCAGCUGCUUGUGGGUUAAGUGAUGGAGUGCUGUGACCCCGCUUCUGAGCAGCCAGGAGACCCGAGGGACACUGGCCAGCAGGUGGCGCUGUGGCUGUUCACAAGGUGAGUGAGUCCCAGACAGGUGCUGGGGGAGGUGGGCUACCGAGUGAGCACCUCCCUCGCCUGGCCUUGGUGAGGCAGCAGGGACCCUGGGAAGCCCCAGGAGUCUCCUCCAUGGAGGCGCAGAGUCGGCAUUGACAGACGAUGCUCCCCCAGUCCCCUGCCUCACUGCACAGGCUUUCCCCCUUAAAGCUGCGUCCCCAGCAUCCAAUCUCCCCCUGUAAAAAAGGACAGAUUACACUGGGCUCCCAGCAGCAAGGAAAGUAAUAUUGGGGCCGAGGAGAAUCCAUCUUGAGCACAAGGGACAGGCACCCCUCCUAUAUAUCAACACGUACCAGGGCGAGGGGACGUUGGAGAGGAAAGAGAAAGGGCAGCAUCCCUUCAGAGAGCAGGGCAGGGGCCAGCCUAUCGGUGUGUAUAUAUCUUGCAUUAUGCAGCGUGGGAGGGAAAAUCAAUAGAGCUGUCAGCUGUUAAUGCAUUCAGUCCUGCCACCGUCCCCACCCCGGGAUGCUCCAGACGGAUGCUUCAAAUUAAACAACAGGGAAGGGAGAGGGGUGCGGGAGGCCAGGAGACAUACACUCUGACAGGCCGGAGGAAAGCAGAGGCACAACUGAGGGCCAGGGAAAUUAAAGUCCAUCAAUCACAAGGUGCAGAGAGUCCCCUGGCUUGAGUGACAGGAAGGUGCUCGGCACCAGCAGAGGUGUCCCAGCAGUUGCAGGUCCCUCUGCCUGGUAGGAGUCCCUGGGAGGCUGAUGGUGGCUGGUCAGUGGACCCUCAGGAGGAGGGGUGGGAGGGUAGCACAGGCUUCCUUCCUGCCUUGCUGGGGUGUGCGUGUGUGCCAGGAUGGAGGGGUGGGCAGGAUCUGUGUGUGUGUGUGUGUGUGUGUG
rnacentral:lncRNA from 1 species